rnacentral:lncRNA from 1 species
CACUGACAGCUAUGGAUGUGUAGGAAUUACUGCCAGAGUCUUGCAAGAAAUCCAUUCUAGGUACUAAAUAUCAGCAACUGUAUUGCUGUGAUAAGAAACACUGUGGCACAUCAAGAGUGACUGUACAGAUACAAAGCACAUGUACUAUACAUGCGAGUUUGCCAUGGCAAUCUCAAUCCCAAGAUUAUGAAGAACCCCAGGGAAGGGCGUACGCUUCCUUCAUCUUGGAAUCCUCAUUACCUGGCACCAAGCCUGGCACACAGGACGCAUCCAUACAGUCGGGAGGAGUAAGUCUGUAUCAGUGGCCUAACACCAUAUUCCUCUGCCAGAGAGGGUGACUCUCCAGGAGAGCUGUCCUCCCUGCGGCAUUCCAUAGCAGCAGCCUCCACACGACUCACCUACUUCUACCUCGUUGCUUGGCCAUCUGACCAUCAGACCUCCAUUUUUGUCAUGGCACUGGAAGAAGAAAACAUAGAAAAUUGCUUUGGAACUUAUCUUGAAAGAACAUACAGGGGGCGGUGGCUAGCCUUAUCCAGUACUUGGAGGAGGGGUGGACAGA